UGUCUGGGCUUCAUGCCAGAGUCUGGUCUUUUCACUUCAGCCCCUAUCCCUGCACUGGGCUGCGCUGGGAACCUGGGUGGUGGUGCUGGUGGUGUUGGGGGGGGGGGGGCAGACUCUCAAGGUGCCACUUCCAUGGAGACGCAGUUGGGGCUGAACAAGAUUCCCUUCAGUCGACAAACAAGAGGCAAGCUGCUGUCUGGCGGUGCAGUUGCCUGGCCGCAACGUUACCAGGAGCCCACCACUCGGCCAAUCCCGCCCCGGUGUGCUUCGCGUCCCAGCCAAUCACUGCCUUCAUUGAUCUCCGGUGUCCCCCGCAGUCUGCAGUCUCGCGGCUGGUGGCGUGGCACUCAGGGAGCACGGGUCACCUUAAGCCUGCUCCCCGGACCAUGCAAACGAGUCUAGACCAGUGACCUGCCGGAUCACUCCCUUUGAAGGCGAGGCAAGUUCGGUCACGACGAAGACAGAUCGAGGCGUACCCUCGUCACAAUGGGGAGCAGCCUAUGACUGCUGGGAGGGUGAACGCGGAGGCUGUCCCCGUUUAACCCCAGCCGUCACACAGUGUUUGGUGAGUGUAUAUUUGCAAUCAAUUUUAUGUUCCCGGAGUCCUGUUCCAGAGGUCUGGGCUUGAUUGUUGCUAAACCCUUGCAGCAUGAUCAGAAACACAGCUCGUCGUAAGACCCCUUAGUGCCUGCCUUGCCUGGCCACAAAAUCUGCUUUUCUCAUUGCCUGUGCCAUGGUAGACGUCUACAUCUGCGUUUCUGUGCACCAUUCCCGUGCUUCUCUACCGCGCAGCUUGGGCUGUUACAGAAUGUUGUCCAGCUAGCCCAUCAUAUCCACGUAGCUACAUCCUGAUUCUUGUCCGUUGACUGUACUCUGGCUGAACUACUUUGUGGUUGGUUUGGAAGCAGUGUGGCGCGGAGGGAUACCUGGCGCUAUUCGUUCGAGGGCCCCUAAGCCUUAGCGCAGCGGGGGAAGAAUAUCUGUGCCACAAGUGACUUGCUGAUUAGUAGUGUGUCUGAGCUGGGCUCUUCGGCUAGGAAGUUGUGUGGCUCAAGGGCAAACAAGGACAGACUGGAGGGAGCAAGCAGGGCUGAGAUUGGGGCAGCAUUAAACUUUCUGUUUGUACUCCAUAGACCCCAGCGGCGUCUUUGCCAAAAGCGCGUUUGUUAUGGAACAGACUUUCGAAAAGAACAAAGCAAGGAAGCCUGUUCAGCAUAGCAGGAGAUUUACAGUCCAGAAACUGAAAACUGUCGCUCUCGCCAAAGUGAUAGCAAAAUAAGAGUUUAGGCUUUUUUUUCUUUCCCAAAGCAACUACAAUAAGUUUGCCCUAAACUAGAGGAUUUCACGAUGCGUGAAUCCGUGUACUUAACAGAAAGUUCAUUAGCGUUAUAAAGCAACUUGCAUAUUCACUGCAAAGUAAU